UCGUACAAUGGAGAUGCCCAGGGCUGUCGCUGACUUUCACAGGUCGUGCACGCCCAAAGGUGCUCUCUUAUGUCCAUCUCACCCCUUUGUGCAUCACCGCGUGUGCCCCCCUUUGGAACGAGCCCAAUAGGGGGGUUUCACGUUUUAACACAUACACCAAUUUUUAAGAGCAUGUGUAGAAUGUCUUACCUUUUUGCGAUUAUGCGCAAUCAAUA
rnacentral:misc_RNA from 1 species